CUUCUCUUUCCUUCAUUGCAGGCAUUGAAGAUCUAAAGUUUGGAAAAAUAGUUACUCCUUUACCUCCAAAAGCUACUUUUUUGGAUGAUCUGCUUAGAGUUCUUCGAGCUAUUCGAUUUGGUGCAAGGUUUGGAUUCAUACUUGAUGAAGAACUCAAAGUAGCUGCUGCAUGUGAUGACAUGAAAAAUGCUUUUGCAGUGAAAAUUAGCAAAGAGCACAUUGGAACUGAAGUUGAUCUCAUGAUUUUUGGCAAUCAACCUGUUAAAGCUAUGACACAUAUUUCAGAUUUGACAUUAUUCUGGGUUGUCUUUGGUUUUCCUCCUAAGGUUGAGCCAGCAGUGUCAGAAGGAUGCCACAAGUAUGAUAUGGU